rnacentral:rRNA from 1 species
UACGAAGGGAGCUAGCGUUGUCCGGAAUCAUUGGGCGUAAAGCGCGUGUAGGCGGCCAGAAAAGUCCGCUGUGAAAACUCGAGGCUCAACUUCGAGCUGUCGGUGGAAACUUUCUGGCUAGAGUCCGGAAGAGGAGGAUGGAAUUCCUGGUGUAGCGGUGAAAUGCGCAGAUAUCAGGAAGAACACCCGUGGCGAAGGCGGUUCUCUGGGACGGUACUGACGCUGAGACGCGAAAGCGUGGGGAGCGAACAGG